UACAGAGGGUGCAAGCGUUAAUCGGAAUUACUGGGCGUAAAGCGCGCGUAGGUGGUUUGUUAAGUUGGAUGUGAAAUCCCCGGGCUCAACCUGGGAACUGCAUCCAAAACUGGCAAGCCAGAGUAUGGUAGAGGGUGGUGGAAUUUCCUGUGUAGCGGUGAAAUGCGUAGAUAUAGGAAGGAACACCAGUGGCGAAGGCGACCACCUGGACUGAUACUGACACUGAGGUGCGAAAGCGUGGGGAGCAAACAGG
rnacentral:rRNA from 1 species